CAGCACCUCAAGUGGUCAGGAUGAUUAUUGGGCCUAAAGCGUCCGUAGCCGGACUAGUAAACUCUUUGGUAAAUUGGGCAGCUUAACUGUCCAAAUUCCGAGGGGACUGCUAGUCUUGGGACCGGGAGAGGUCAGAGGUACUCAAGGGGUAGGGGCUAAAUCCUGUAAUCCUUUGGGGACCACCAGUGGCGAAGGCGUCUGACUAGAACGGAUCCGACGGUAAGGGACGAAACCCUGGGGCGCGAACCGGAUUAGAUACCCGAGUAGUCC
rnacentral:rRNA from 1 species